rnacentral:rRNA from 1 species
GAUCAUGGCUCAGGAUGAACGCUAGCUACAGGCUUAACACAUGCAAGUCGGAGGGGGCAGCAUGGACUCAGCUUCGCUGGGGUUUGAUGGCGACCGGCGCACGGGUGAGUAACGCGUAUCCAACCUGCCCUUUACUCCGGGAUAGUCUCCUGAAAGGGAGUUUAAUACCGGAUGUGUUUGUCUUUCCGCAUGGGAGCGACAAAUAAAGAUUGAUUGGUAAAGGAUGGGGAUGCGUCCCAUUAGCG